GACGAACGCUGGCGGCGUGCUUAACACAUGCAAGUCGAGCGAAAAGGCCAUGCUUUUGUGGGUUGCACGAGAGGGGAACGGGGGUGUAUAACGUGAGUAACAUGCACUUAACUGAGGGGUAAAUUCAGGAGACUGGGGCGAAUACCGCGUAGGAGAUACUGCUGCAUGUUGUGGGUUGGAGAAAUUCGGCGGUUGGGGAUGGUCUCGCGGCUUAUCAGCUUGUUGGUGGGGUAGUGGCUUACCAAGGCUUUGACGGGUAGCCGGCCUGAGAGGGUGACCGGCGACAUGGGGACUGAGAUACGGCCCAGACUCCUACGGGACGCAGCAGUGGGGAAUAUUGCACAAUGGGCGGAAGCCUGAUGCAGCAAUGCCGCGUGCGGGAUGACGGCCUUCGGGUUGUAAACCGCUGUCGCAUGUGAUGAAGCGUGAGUGACGGUAAUGGGUAAAGAAGCACCGGCUAACUACGUG
rnacentral:rRNA from 1 species